rnacentral:rRNA from 1 species
AUGGAGCGAGGGCUCGUCGCAUUGCUGGGUCUGGGGCUGGCGCUUCUUCUGCUGGCGCCCUCCCGUCGUCUCGCCUCGGCCGCUCCGGUGGAGGACGGCCUCCUCAUGAAUGGUGAUUUCGAGACAGCACCACCUGGCGGUUUCGUCAAAUCUGCUUCAGUUUCCGAGGGCGCAGCGAUCCCAAGCUGGAUGAUCAAUGGAACAGUUGAGCUCAUUUCCGCAGGCCAGCACCAGGGUGGCAUGAUCCUUAUUGUUCCACAAGGCGAUCAUGCUGUGCGGCUAGGGAAUGAUGCAGGCAUUGGGCAGGUGGUGGAGGUUGAGAAGGGCUCAGAGUACGCGAUCACAUUCAGCGCCGCCCGGACCUGCGCGCAGCUGGAGUCACUGAACAUCUCCGCUGGGAGCGUGUCGCAGACAGUCGACCUGCAGACACUGUACAGCAUAGAAGGCUGGGAUGCAUAUGCACUGGCUUUCCAAGCAGUGGAUGAGCAGGCCAGCAUUGAGUUCAGGAACCCUGGCAUGGAGGACGACCCGACCUGUGGGCCUAUCCUUGACAACGUGGCCAUCAAGAAGCUCUUCUCCCCCGACAAAGCAAAGGAGAACAUGGUGAUCAAUGGGGACUUUGAGGAGGGGCCAUGGAUGUUUGCAAACACAAGCUUCGGCGUCCUGCUCCCGACGAACCUCGACGAGCAGACGUCGGCCUUGCCGGGGUGGAUGAUCGAGUCGAACCGCGCAGUCCGCUUCGUUGACUCCGACCAGUACACCGUUCCCCAGGGGAAGCGCGCCAUAGAGCUUCUCUCCGGCAAGGAGGGCAUCAUCUCGCAGAUGGUGGAGACGACCCCUCAGAAGGCGUACACCCUGACGUUCACGCUGGGCUCAGCAGGCGAUUCGUGCCAGCCGCCAAUGGCCGUCAUGGCGUUCGCCGGCGACCAGGCCCAGAACUUCCACUACGCCCCCAUGGGCAACGCCACGAGCCAGGCCGUGAACGUGAAUUUCACGGCGCGCGCCGAGAGGACGCGCGUCGCGCUCUACAGCGUCUACUACAACACGAGAAGCGACGACCACAGCUCGCUCUGUGGGCCGGUGAUCGACGACGUCCGCGUCUGGGGCUUGAACGGGGCUGCUGGGUUGAAGGCGAGCAUCAGGAUGCUUAUUGCCAUGGCUAGUGUCAUCGUUCUUGUGCUGUUCUGA